UGCAAGUCGAGCGGUAGAGAGAAGCUUGCUUCUCUUGAGAGCGGCGGACGGGUGAGUAAUGCCUAGGAAUCUGCCUGGUAGUGGGGGAUAACGUUCGGAAACGGACGCUAAUACCGCAUACGUCCUACGGGAGAAAGCAGGGGACCUUCGGGCCUUGCGCUAUCAGAUGAGCCUAGGUCGGAUUAGCUAGUUGGUGAGGUAAUGGCUCACCAAGGCGACGAUCCGUAACUGGUCUGAGAGGAUGAUCAGUCACACUGGAACUGAGACACGGUCCAGACUCCUACGGGAGGCAGCAGUGGGGAAUAUUGGACAAUGGGCGAAAGCCUGAUCCAGCCAUGCCGCGUGUGUGAAGAAGGUCUUCGGAUUGUAAAGCACUUUAAGUUGGGAGGAAGGGCAUUAACCUAAUACGUUAGUGUUUUGACGUUACCGACAGAAUAAGCACCGGCUAACUCUGUGCCAGCAGCCGCGGUAAUACAGAGGGUGCAAGCGUUAAUCGGAAUUACUGGGCGUAAAGCGCGCGUAGGUGGUUUGUUAAGUUGGAUGUGAAAUCCCCGGGCUC
rnacentral:rRNA from 1 species